GAAGAAAGUGAAGUCAGCUGUGAAUCAAACUUAUAGCCUUUGGCCCUCUGGAAUAAAUGCAGCUUUGAGUCACUCACGAUGUGCUGCAAAUCCCCCUUUAGUGUCUGCAUCCAGGACUGCUGUUAAAAAAGCAUCGGAGAUAAUCCAGCCCUGCCUGCAGCUGCUGUGGCCAGUGCUCCAGAUAAUGAGAGGAACCUUUCCUGAGCUCAGAAACCAACACCUGGACUUUUGCUGCGAUGCUGGAAGAGAAUGAGGGUGGAAUUAUGAGCUUUGCAAAAGCUCAAGGUGAGAAUCCUCCAUUUUGCAGCAGCCUCAUCCUUUACACAGAGUAUUCUCCAUGAACUUUGCAGAGCUUGGUAAAGAGAUUUGUUUUUACUUCAUGUACUUAGUUCAAAAACUCAGACACAAAGCUGGCAUUGAAGCCCUGAGAGGGGUUCUGUGAGUGGUCCUGCCAAACACCCUCUGCACAAAACAGGUCCUCAGCAUCUGAAAUCUGCUCUGUGGUUCAGCAAUGAGAGCUCUGAUGUGAAGACACAGAUAUGGAGCAGCCCCGAUGGUUCACCUUCAGGACCUGAGCAGUGGCCAAAUGUGUGUCUGGCAGAGGGGGCAUGAGGAGGUGAGAUCCUUCCCCCUGCUGAAACCUGGCCCUGCUCCCACCCUGUGCACACACAGCCGUGUCACAAACUGUCCCCAGUGCAGGGCUGGGCCCUUCAGCUCCUGCUAAAGCCUCACCACCUCCUUCCCCCCAGAGGUGCCACCCUGGGAGCUGCAGCAGGGUCAGGACACAGGGCUGGCACCCCCAGGCAGGGACCCUGGGCAUGGGAGAGGAGAGCAGGAAGGAAACAGGAAUGAUAUGUGUAGAGUUGGGGGAGAAAAGAGAAUAGGAAUAGGGAUAUGGGGAAUAAAAAAUAUGAUAGAGUGGAGAGAUCACCAAGAAAAGAGGGGAGAAAAGGCAAGAUGCAGAAAGAAAGGGCAGGGAAGCACAGGAGAGAAAACUCUCCCCAAACUGGCGCAGGGCUCCCAGCUGUGCUGCCUUUGUGAGAGGAAUGGCUCCAGCCCAGCACCCCCAGGCCUGAUCUCCUUGGAGCACAGGGAGGAAACACAUCCCGGGUCUGGCUCAGCACUUCAGACAUUCCUCUGCCAUUGUUUUUUCAUUCUGCAUCUGUGCUGGCUCCUUUGUGACCCCAGCUGGCACUCUAAAGAAAUGAAUCCUCCAAGUACAACUUGUGCACAUUUCUCUGCAGAAAGUGAGAAUGGCACCAGGCACACUGAUUUGGAAAUGAACUCGUUAAGGCAGCUAUUAGGGCUUUAUAUGCUCCUUUGUCUUACUUGGCUGCAGAGCUGCAGACAGACAAAGUGUAUUUUUGGCCAUCCUCAGCUAUUCAGCACUGCAAAGCAUUCUCAUUAAUAAGUGAGAUGGUGGGAGAUCUAAAGGAAAUAUCAGGCCAUAUAUUUUGAUAAAUACCCUGAAAAUACCAGUUCUAUUGGUCUUUCAGUGAUUAUCAGGACAACCUGAGUGACUACAAUGGCCAGAGCUGCAGCAGGGGGAGCAGCUUCCAGGCAAGUCCCAAAGCACCACUUGGGGAUUAAACCUUUCCAGCAGCUUAAUUUUUGAAGUAGUUCUGUGAGAAGAUGGCACUGCAGGCUGGGAAUCCAGGAUAGGUGCUGGCUUUGACCUUUUCUGAAUUGAUUUAAAUUUUUGCAAAAGGAUUAGUGGUCCAGAUGGACACUCAUCCUAAACUUGACAUUAUGAGCAUUUGCACUUUCAAUUUGGGGAGCAAAAAUUCAUGAUGCAAGGGGACCGUCUACAUAUAAAAAAACAUAUUUACACAUCUGUCUAAACAUUUCUCUGAGAAAUCUCUGGAGCCAGCCUUUUUAUUACAUUUUAAUGAGAUUUUCUUUUACCAACUAAGAAAUUACUUACAGGAGCACAUGUAGAGAUAUUUUUGCCUCUCCUGUACAAUGCUGUCUUUUUUGCAUUGAUUUUGUUCAUAUGGCAUUCCAGUGAAUAGUUACAUUUGGAUUAAGGUGGCACAGCCUGAAAUGCCAUCAUUUUUAAAGCUGACAACCUUGAUGAAAUCAACUGCAUUUCCUUUUCCCUGUGCUCUCUCUGCUUUGCCUCACCUGGGUUUAUUAAGGCUCCAAAGGAGGAGCUGUUUUACCAUUUGCCACAUCUAAAUUUACUGCUAAAGUGCUGAAUUGAGUCGCAGUGUUGUUCAUGAAUGGUCUGAGGGAAUCAAUUGCAACAAAUGAUAAGGGAAGAGCUCCUGGAUGUUCCAGUGAGAGGCUGGAACAGCUCUGCUGGAGAGCCAGGAGUGACAGCAGAGCUCCCAGAGUGUCCCUGCAUGAGUCCUCAAAAGCACCCAGGUGCCUUCGUGCAUCUUUCUGCUUGUCUGUGUCAGCAGGGAAUUUGUGUGUCUGAUGUGGGAAACAAUGAAACAGCAAAGAGAGAUUACUGAUUAAUGCUUCCUUGAUUUACUGGUGUUGUGUUAAUGGAUAAUUAUAUUUAUCGAGUUAUUUCUCUUCUGAGAAGCAAGCACACCUCAGAGUUGCUAAGACACCAAGCCUUGCUGACCCAGACAGGCUUGAGACUCCAGUUCCCAUUCCCAGAGAUUGGGAAGAUACAGGGAGGGGAAAUCCAACCUUUCAGUGCCUGGGACAUAAGGAAUGCUACCCUGGAGUUUGAAGUAGUGCUGGCAGACAACAGGGCCCGAGAGGCAUUGCUUUGCUUGAUUUCCUUGAACUGAUAAGAACAUUGCUGCAGUGGGGUGGGGUA